GUCUUAGUAUGGUAAAGAUUACGCUGACAGAUUAAUUCCACUUGGGAAGGUUACUGUUUAAAAAGAAUUUAUGCUGCCAUUGGGUCUGCCUACCAGAUAAGCCACAACAAGGUGAAAGUGAGCUGCAUCAAGAUUCUGAUGCCCAGAGCACACAGUUCAGUUUCUGCUGCUUCUUUGUUCAACUAGAGGCUAUAUAAGAAACAGCAUUCUCUCUCAAAACAAGAAGGUAAUCAAGGGGGAGAUACACAGGCUUUGAAAAGCAAAAUUAAGACUCUAUGGGAUUUUGGAUGUGUAACAUAAACUGUGGGCAACGUGCUUCGCUUGUAUAAAUCAGCAUCAUUACAUUGAAGCCAGAAGAUCUCUGCUGUGCUCCAGCUGAGAAAGUGGCCUACGACUCUGAACACAAGGGGAUGUGCUGGAAGGCAGUCCUGGUCCAGCAAGGUACAUCAGUGGGAAAGCAAGCCUCUGCUGAGGAUUUCACUAGGAGUGAAAUCCUGGUUCACUGAAGGCCAUGGGAAAGAGACUUCACCCUAAGCAUCAAGAAACGGACGUCUUCCCAAAGUUAAUUUUGACCUCUGGAAUUCAGCAGAGAAAUAAAGCACAAAAUAAAGCUGCAUUGGUUAAAAGAAACUAUUGCAACAUAAGUCGAAAAGCCAAAACUGAAGGGCAGAGGUGGCAGGGAAGAAGGCAUACUGCAUAAUUUCUGAUGGCAAUAUUCAUAGCAUCUCACAGAGCACUGUGGAGAUACUAAUCUUAAUAAAACAGCAUAUACAAAUCCCUGUUCCUGUGCUACUGAUAAGACCCUAAGUGCUCAGUCCUGCUACAGCUUACUCACAGGAACUGGCCUCUAUUUUCAGAAGUCACAAAUGAUUCUGAUUACCUUCAUUUCUCAGUCGAUCACCAGUUUUAGAAAAUGGGUCUAGGUUUAAAAAGUGAAGCACUUGGUGCAAUUUGAGGAACCACAGUUUCUUCAACUCCUAGGGCAGCCAAAACUGCUAAUCACUUUGAAAACUUUAUGUUGCAGUCCUCCCUCGAACUGAAGGUGCACGCUCUGCCCAGCACUGUGCCAUGCUGAGAGAACUGGAUUACUCGGGGGGGCUGGAAGUACCCUCUUUGCACGGUCCAAAUGGUCUGCCCUGAAUAAUUAGUCCUAAGUAACACCCCUUUGAGCCAUGAAAGAGACAUUCCCGGGUCUCUGUAUGUGAGUAAGCAAACCCACGUGGCUUCUCAUCCUGCAAGUGCUUCCUCCACCUCCAGCGGUGGCUCAAGGGAGAACACCAUUAAUUAAAUUGGUAGUGGGGUAAGGAGCCAAGAGAGAAAGGGGACAGCCAGAACACGCGGGCGAGAACGCCAGUGGGGAUCCUGCACUGGUUCUCUGAUUGUGGUAAGCAUGAGUGAAGCUGGGGUUUGGGGGUCUCUGCACCCUAGCCUACAGCAUUUCCUCGCCCUCUGUGUCAUGACAUAUAAACUAUGGUCUUAAGAUACUGUCUCUUGAUUACUUAUUUGGGGAUCAAGAAAGGCAUGUUUUUUCUUAUUAGGGUAUAGCUGGAGAAGGCAUACGAUGUUUUCACGGUCUUUCCAGCAUCACGGAGGCACCGGUAGGCUGAAAAGUUGGAUAUGGAAAUGGAACAGAUUGGAAUGUAUGCAUUUAUUCACCUGCUGGAAUUUACUGAAAAUUUUAGAUAAUGUCCAGUGUGGGAUAAGGCUGAAAUUUAAAAGAAAUCUGGAACUUCGCUAUUGGCUUUGUGCCUAGGAAAGAAACAAACCUAAAUGAAGUGCUUUGGGGUUUAGGACCUCCUUUCUUCUUUGGAGGGGGGUUGAGGGGUGGGCUUCAGAUGUGAGCUGGUUUUAGGGAUAGAUUAGGGAGGAUCUGCCCUCAAUUGUAGCUUUGUAAUCCCUGCACCGGGCCCACUUAACUGCCUGACAUGUGAAAAUAUUGUGUUAAUGAAGUUCCAGCCUGCUUCUUAAAUCCACCCUUGUGACUGUCUUUAUUCAUCUGUGUGUCCUGAUAAAUUAUGUUUAAUUUUAUAUAUGUGAGUAAUCUCAUUGAAAUCUAAGAGUUACUAAUGGUAGUACAAUAGAUGAGUGUUGCUUGGGCCUUUAAUCCAAUAUUAAAGCUGAAAACUUUUUACA